rnacentral:rRNA from 1 species
CGUGAGAGCGGGAGCCCGGAGAUGGGCACUGAGACAAGGGCCCAGGUAUAGAUUACGGGGCGCAGCAGUCAACCUUUGCAAUACACGAAAGUGUGACAGGGUCAUCCCGAGUGCCGACCGCUGAGGUUGGCUUUUACCCAGUCUAGAAAGCUGGGGGAAUAAGGAGAGGGCAAGUCUGGUGUCAGCCGCCGCGGUAAUACCAGCUCUCCGAGUGGUGUGGACGUUUAUUGGGCCUAAAGCAUCCGUAGCUGGCUGAACAAGUCGACCCUGUUAAACCCACAUUUAAUCGUUGGUCUGCGGGGGAUACUGCUCGGCUAGGGGACGAGAGAGGCAGACGGUAUUCCCGGGGUAGGGGUGAAAUCCUAUAAUCCCGGGAAGACCACCAGUGGCGAAGGCUCG